rnacentral:rRNA from 1 species
GAUGAACGCUGGCGGCGUGCCUAAUACAUGCAAGUCGAGCGAACGGACGAGAAGCUUGCUUCUCUGAUGUUAGCGGCGGACGGGUGAGUAAAACGUGGAUAACCUACCUAUAAGACUGGGAUAACUUCGGGAAACCGGAGCUAAUACCGGAUAAUAUUUUGAACCGCAUGGUUCAAAAGUGAAAGACGGUCUUGCCGUCACUUAUAGAUGGAUCCGCGCUGCAUUAGCUAGUUGGUAAGGUAACGGCUUACCAAGGCAACGAUGCAUAGCCGACCUGAGAGGGUGAUCGGCCACACUGGAACUGAGACACGGUCCAGACUCCUACGGGAGGCAGCAGUAGGGAAUCUUCCGCAAUGGGCGAAAGCCUGACGGAGCAACGCCGCGUGAGUGAUGAAGGUCUUCGGAUCGUAAAACUCUGUUAUUAGGGAAGAACAUAUGUGUAAGUAACUGUGCACAUCUUGACGGUACCUAAUCAGAAAGCCACGGCUAACUACGUG